GGACGUUGCUUUGUGAGUGUUGCGCACGACUGGAAAUCGUGUGUGGGCUUAUACCCCACCUAGGGUUCAAAUCCCUAACUCUCCGCCA
rnacentral:tRNA from 1 species